GCGGCGGAUGGGUGAGUAACACAUGGGCAACCUGCCUGUAAGAUUGGGAUAACUCGCGGAAACGUGAGCUAAUACCAAAUAAUCCUUUACAUCUCCUGAUGUUUAGGUAAAAGGCGGCAUUUUGCUGUCACUUACAGAUGGGCCCGUGGCGCAUUAGCUAGUUGGUGGGAUAAAAGCCUACCAAGGCAACGAUGCGUAGCCGACCUGAGAGGGUGAUCGGCCACACUGGGACUGAGACACGGCCCAGACUCCUACGGGAGGCAGCAGUAGGGAAUCUUCCGCAAUGGACGCAAGUCUGACGGAGCAACGCCGCGUGAGUGACGAAGGUCUUCGGAUCGUAAAACUCUGUUGUUAGGGAAGAACAAGUAUCGUUCGAAUAGGGCGGUACCUUGACGGUACCUAACCAGAAAGCCCCGGCUAACUACGUGCCAGCAGCCGCGGUAAUACGUAGGGGGCAAGCGUUGUCCGGAAUUAUUGGGCGUAAAGCGCGCGCAGGCGGUCCUUUAAGUCUGAUGUGAAAGCCCACG
rnacentral:rRNA from 1 species